UAAUACGGAGGGCGCAAGCGUUGUUCGGAAUCACUGGGCAUAAAGAGCACGUAGGCUGUUCAAUCAGUCGGAUGUGAAAUCCCCCGGCUCAACCGGGGAAAUGCAUUCGAUACUAUUGAGCUAGAGGACAGGAGGGGUGAGUGGAACUCCAGGUAGAACGGUGAAAUGUGUAGAUAUCUGGAGGAACACCGGUGGCGAAAGCGGCUCACUGGCCUGUCUCUGACGCUGAGGUGCGAAAGCUAGGGUAGCGAACGGGAUUAGAUACCCCGGUAGUCCUAGCCGUAAACGAUGGGCACUAGGCAAUGGGUUUUCCCUAUGGGACUCAUUGCCGUAGCAAAUGUGUUAAGUGCCCCGCCUGGGGAGUACGCUCGCAAGGGUA
rnacentral:rRNA from 1 species